rnacentral:misc_RNA from 1 species
GCUGGAUGAUACACUUGUUGAGUUUAGGAUUUCCCUUUCCUUGCCAUAGUUCUGAUCUACCAUUCAAUGGUAGCUGUUACAGAAAAAUUCACACCAAACCUAUGAUGAUCAUGGUACAAAAUUGUAAUUAAUUCUUGAGAUUUCCAUUUCUGUUUCUAGCGAGGGACACCCCCUAUUUAUUCAUUUCUCUUUUCUGGCCAAGGACUCUCCCUUGUACUCACAGCCUGCAGUAACCACAAAACCUGCUCCAACCUGAC